CAGAGCUAGAAAGUUGCCCAAGUAAGAAGUGCCUUGAGAGUACAUGACUUUCACAACCUCCGGGCUUAAAGCCGUCUCAAAAAGUCCCUACAGCUUUGCCGUUGAAGUAGGCGGAAGCCGUGCAGCUUUUUUUCACGUCUUUUGCCAUGACCACAACAAGAUGGUGCCACUGACCUGGAACAAGCAAGCUGGAACAACGGAACCUCAGUGAGGUGGGCAAAGAGGUUGGGGUGCCCACUUCUGGCUCCAUCAUAUCUGUAAAUAAAAGUCAUAGUAAGUCCAUAGUAAACGUGGGUCAUAUUACAGGACAAGCACACUGUUCACAUUUUCGCAACCAUUUUUGUUGCAGUAUAUUUUCUCUGGGACAAUACUAUACAAAUGAAAAGUGUAUACACUUUAAAGUAACCAGUGUACAGCUUGUAGCAUAUUAUAGAUUGGCUGGAAUUGGGCGGUAUAGCUCGGUUGGUAGAGUGGCUGUGCCAGCAACUUGAGGGUUGCAAGUUCGAUUCCCGCUUCCGCCAUCCUAGUCACUGCCGUUGUGUCCUUGGGCAAGACACUUUACCCACCUGCUCCCAGUGCCACCCACACUGGUUUAAAUGUAACUUAGAUAUUGGGUUUCACUAUGUAAAGCGCUUUGAGUCACUAGAGUUUCAACGCGUAGAAGCAUUUAAGUCUCACCUUAAAACUCAUCUGUAUACUCUAGCCUUUAAAUAGACCUCCUUUUUAGACCAGUUGAUCUGCCGCUUCUUUUCUUUCUCCUAUGUCCCCCCCUCCCUUGUGGAGGGGGUCCGGUCCGAUGACCAUGGAUGAAGUACUGGCUGUCCAGAGUCGAGACCCAGGAUGGACCGCUCGUCGGGACCCAGGAUGGACCGCUCGCCUGUAUCGGUUGGGGACAUCUCUACGCUGCUGAUCCGCUUGAGAUGGUUUCCUGUGGACGGGACUCUCGCUGCUGUCUUGGAGCCACUAUGGAUUGAACUUUCACAGUAUCAUGUUAGACCCGCUCGACAUCCAUUGCUUUCGGUCCCCUAGAGGGGGGGGGUUGCCCACAUCUGAGGUCCUCUCCAAGGUUUCUCAUAGUCAGCAUUGUCACUGGCGUCCCACUGGAUGUGAAUUCUCCCUGCCCACUGGGUGUGAGUUUUCCUUGCCCUUUUGUGGGUUCUUCCGAGGAUGUUGUAGUCUUAAUGAUUUGUGCAGUCCUUUGAGACAUUUGUGAUUUGGGGCUAUAUAAAUAAACAUUGAUUGAUUGAU